rnacentral:rRNA from 1 species
CCUGGCUCAGGAUGAACGCUGGCGGCGUGCCUAACACAUGCAAGUCGAACGGGGUUAUGGUGAAGUUUCGGACAGAAACAUAACUUAGUGGCGGACGGGUGAGUAACGCGUGGAUAACCUGCCUCGCACAGGGGGAUAGCAGCUGGAAACGGCUGAUAAUACCGCAUAAGACCACGGGACCGCAUGGUCCUGUGGUAAAAGAUUUAUCGGUGCGAGAUGGAUCCGCGUCUGAUUAGCCAGUUGGCGGGUAACGGCCCACCAAAGCGACGAUCAGUAGCCGGCCUGAGAGGGUGAACGGCCACAUUGGGACUGAGACACGGCCCAAACUCCUACGGGAGGCAGCAGUGGGGAAUAUUGCACAAUGGGCGCAAGCCUGAUGCAGCAAACCGCCGCGUGAGUGAAGAAGUAUUUCGGUAUGUAAAGCUCUAUCAGCAGGGAAGAAAGGCCCGCAAGGGAGAUGACGGUACCUGACUAAGAAGCCCCGGCUAACUACGUGCCAGCCGCCGC